rnacentral:snRNA from 1 species
GGAUUCGUGAGGGCGAUCUGGUUGUGGUUGAUUCGGCUGAUCUGGCUGGCUAGGCGGGCGUCCCCUUCCUCCCUCACCGCUCCAUGUGCAUCUCUCCAGAAGCUGUGCACUCAGUCAAAGAGGACGGCCUUCCCUAAUAAGACACAGACCAGUCUUCCGUCAAGGGUAUAGCUGCGCUCCCAUGCUAGAACCUCCAAACAAGCUCUCAAGGAGCUGGGAGAGGAGUGCUUUGGCAUCCCUAACUUUCUUCUCUCCUUUCUCACUCUAAGUGUACAGGAUGAGGAAAAGG